AAAAAAAAGACAAAAAAAAC
rnacentral:sRNA from 1 species